GCUCUGAAGGUAAGAGUUGCAGGAAACUGAACUUUUUCUUGUCAAUGACAAUUUCAGGAGUUCAGUUUUCUCCAACAUCUUAUCUUCGGUGC
rnacentral:pre_miRNA from 1 species